UCGCGCUGCUGCUGCUGCUGCCUCCCUCCGCCUGCGCCGAGCGAGUCCCCUCGCAGAAGGACGCCUCAUUGAAGAAAGCCUUUGGGGAGUCUGUUUCCUUUCAGUAUGACCUUAGUUCAGAUCAUUAAAAUGUCUGGAGCUGAUGACUUUUCGUUGGCAGAUGCUUUACCGGAUCAUUCCCCUGCUAAAACCUCCAAAGUGAGCAAUACAAAAUCUGGUCAACAAACUGGUCAACCAACACAAGGCUGGCCAACUUCCAAUCCUUGGAACACCCCAAGUGCUCCACCUACUGGGCCAUCUGGAUUGCCACCAAAUACAACAGCCUCCAGUGUACCAUUUGGACCACCCCCAACAGGAAUGUAUCCUUCAAUGCCACCUGGACCGCCUGCUCCAUUUCCACCUCCUCCUACUGGACCCUCUUGCCCUCCUCCUGGUGGUCCAUAUCCACCCCCAUCUGUGCCAGGUCCUGUCCCGCCAGGGCAAUAUCCUCCACCAAAUAUGCCCUUUCCAGAGCUUCCGAGACCAUAUGGUGGUCCAACAGAGCCAGCUGCACCUCCUGCUCCUGUUGGGCCAUGGGGAUCCAUGCCUUCUGGAGCAUGGGGAGCAACAAUGGGAGGGCAGUAUCCUGCACCUAGUAUGCCAUAUCCACCCCCAGGGCCAUAUGCCACUCCUACCCAGACACCUGGGGCUGCACCUACAGUACCGUGGGGUACUGUCCCACCUGGAACAUGGGGACCUUCACCACCCGGUCCAUUUCCUCCACCCACGGGAUCAUAUCCAGCUCCAGGACUAUAUCCUACACCCCCUAAUCCUUUUCAAGUGCCAUCUGGUCCUGCUGGUACUCCAUCAAUGCCUGGUGGUCACCAUGUGAGUAUUUAAGUUGUACUAUGUUGAACAAUUCCAAAAUUCAUCUCACACAAGUACUGAUGUUGGGCAGUGGAAAGACCACUUAAUAAAAUGGUAUGGUCUGUUAGAACUGCUAUGUAUUUUUUCCAGUUAACAAUUUAAUGGGAAAUUAUCUGCCUAGUGGAGUUAAAAGUAUGGGAACGCUCAGUUUAGGCAGCUAACUCAGAUUUGAAAUACUACUAAGCCUGAGAAGUAUGAUGGUAGUCUUUAGGGUUGUAUUUUAUUGGCCUUCCAAAAAUACUUCCAUUUCAGGCAUCACUUUGAUUUGUCUUCUAAAUAUGAACAUGCAGCUAGAACCCCUUGCUUAAACAAGAGAAUGGAAAGAAUUAUUUGUAUAGAGACUAGAAUCAAAGGCUGUCUACACUAGCACUUUUGUGGGUAAAACUUAUGUCAAUUGGGUGUGAAAAAAACACCCUCCUGACAGACAUAAGUUUCACUGACAGAAGCACUAGUGUGGACCGUGCAAUAUUGGUGGGAGACGCUCUCUUGCUGACAUAGCCUUACUGCGGCUCGUUGCAGGGUGGUUUAAUUAUGCCAACUGGAGAGCUCUCUCCUGUUGGCAUAGAGCGGCUACACAGGAGACCUUGCAGGGGCACCACUGUACGGUCUCUAGUGUAGACAUAUAGGCUUAGAAUGUAGAACUACCGGUAAAAAACAAAACAAAAACCACCAUAGUAACAAUUGACUUGUAUGCUUAAAUUUGUCCUUGCCUUUAGUUGAGACAUUUACUUAGUGCUGAUUUGAGGAUGUAUUGUCUUGCUAAAGCCAUAAAUUGACCUUGAAUUUCACUUUUUAAUUUUUUACAGCCUUACCGCUGAAUUCAUGCUGGGCACCAAAGUACUGUAGCUUUCCACCUUCAUCCACUAUUUACAGAGAUUUUUUUUUUAAAAAAAUUUUGUUUCAGUAACUUUUGGAAUUGUGAAGAGCACUCGCCUCUUGUAUGUACUUCUGAGGUAUGAAGGAGCAAUCUGCAUAAAUUUAACUUGCUCAUAUGCUGGCAUCUUUUGGUUUAUUAAAGUGAAUUAGGAUGAGCAAACAAAGUCAAGUCCUGUGGUUCUUACUCGAGGCAGAAGUUCCUUUGGGGGGAAAAAAGGGAGUUGCCAAGUGAGUAAGGAUUACAGGAUCAGGCCUAAAGUCUUACUAAAAAGUUAAACAUUAAAUGUCGGUGAUUGCUUUAAGUUUUGAUACCAGACUUGUGGGGGUCACUAAAUGGAUGGAUAGUCAUAUUUUUGUCUAUUUUCAGGUUAUUCCAGAAUAUCAGUAAAAACAACGUAUUUUGAGAUUUCUUUAUGAAAUCUCUUUAUUUUAAACAUGCUACAGUAAUUCAACAUACUAAAGAGAAAUGGAGCAUGUGAAAUUUGAAGGUGUUCUUGGCAUUUAUUUAAUAUACUCUCAAGCACAAUUUCUCUCCGAUUCUGGGACUACAGCGGAGCAGUCAUAGGCCGAAGUACUAACUUGUAUGCACACCUGUUCAAGUUCACAAACAGGCAUUUAUGUGCAAAUCAAGUAGCUGGAUGUGCAGUUCAGUUCAUUUAAAUCCACAAAUGUGAGGUCUGUGCAUGAAAAGGAGGGCAUAAUUUUGCCAGCCCAAAAUUAGUCGUGGUGACUGGAAGUUUGGCUUGUUCUCUACAUGAAGAUAAACUGAUUCCCACUAGGAGAUGAUGCUGUCUCUUAACUUGGCUUUGCUGCCAAGCUAUGUAAACUCUGCAGAACUUUUUUUCAGCAUCCCUGGAAAUUAAGCCUGAGUUAAAUUAAAAUAGUCCAGUGGCAAAAAGCUGCUUUUGGCAUUCCACAUAGUCCUAUCACCUAGGUAGAUCCUUAAAAUCCAUCUCCCUUCUGCCAUAUUUUUAAAAUGAGCCAGUGUUAUGUCAGAGCUCCAUUGAACAUAGUAAUUGGGUAGUCCCUUUGUUCAUACCUAAAUAUAUGUUGUACCUCGCUGAAUGACAUGAUCUGAUUUGGUUUUAAUUGAAUGACUAGAAAUCCUGUGUUCAUCAGAAGGGUCACUGCUAUCAAUUUCAUUCUCCUGACUGAGAAUCUUUAUGGAAUUAUCAUAAUGAUAGUUUUGCAUUACCAAGACGCAUUCUUCACUGAGACUUGGGCUUUUUAAAAUUCAUUAUGGUACUUUGAUUACCUGGACUUUCUGUGAUCAUGCAGAAGUUAUUUUAUCCCAACCUGGGAAAUCUUAAUUUAGCAUCUGUUAGUGGAAUUAAAAAACUGAAUUAGAAAUACUGAAGGAUUAGUAAUAUAUCAGCUUAUUAGGAAAUCCCUUUUCAUAGUGAAAUCAAGGUAACUUUCUCUUCCCUUCCUUACUAGGGACGUCUGCAUGCACAGAGUAGUGGACUUUUAAAAAUAAACUCACUGGCCUGGUAGUGAUGAUGGAUACAUAGCCAUAGUGUCCAUGGCAGUUGCAAGAACCCUGAAAUAAAUUUUACAGAAUAGUGCAGUCUGUGAAGGAGCUGUGGCCACUCUAGCAUAUUGACAUGAGGUCUACUAAAUAGCCAAGAUAGGUGUGUGUUUUGUACUAGGAAGACAAUAGUGGAACUGAACACAACAAAUUAAGACUUGUUCCUAAUAUUCAACAUAAAUCAUAGUAUCUAUGAACACUGGAAAUCAGAACCAGAAGAAAUAUUUAAAAUAGGAUAUUUCAUAAAUUUAGUGUAGAAUUCUAUUCCCAUAGAAUAUAGACUUCAAAAAUUCAUUGUUGAAUUGACUUAAAUUUCUCCAAGACUGAUCCAACUUCUACAAGUGACUAUAGCAAACGUGCUUUGUUGCAUCUGGUCAAGUGCAUUUGACAUGUGCGGCCUUAGUCUGUAAAUUGAUCUAAGGAAAACAUACAUUUAUUUAAAGAAAUUGAUCCUAUAGUCACAACGUGGGUUGAACGUGCACUGGUUUGGAUCUGUUUGCAGGGGAAGGGGCCAGAUGUAGAAAAUACAAAGUGAACAUAUCAAAUUAUUUUUUAAAUGGGGAUUUCCAAAAGUAAAUAAAAUAGAUGUCUGGGUUCUUCCGGGAAUAGGCAGGAUUUAUUACAGGAAAGGUUAGGCUAAAAUUCAGAUACAUAUGGGACACUUUUUCAGUGUAUAUUCAUAUUUCUUGAAGUCAUAAAAACUGUUUCAUAUCCCCUUCGUUUUGUGAGCAAGGGUCCUUGCAUAGCCGUGAAAGGGUUUAUCUGUUAAUGUAUUGUGUAAAAAAACUCAAGUUGUCACUAUAUGCUGUGUAGUAACUUUAUCACAUAUAAUGUCAAGUGUGAGCAACUUCUGGCCUGAAGCUUUAGCAAUGGAAUUUGUACAUUUCUAUGCAUCAUUUAAGUUAAAUUGCUGAGAAGUUUGUUUUGACUUGUGCUUUGAGAUUGGCAUACUGCAUUUGUUUACAAUAUGGAAUAUAAGCAAUCACAUCUUUAAAGUAUAGACUAUCACCUGCUGCUGUAUUUUCUUUAGAUGAGACAAAUAUUGCUGUAUGAUAGCGAAAAGCUAUAAAUACAGGAUUUGAUAUUUUUUGAAACGCUGUCACUUUUGUAUAAGAUUAGACAUUAAACGUAUUUUCAGGA